GGAGAUAAAAAGAUUAUAAGAGAAGCAUAGAUUUCAUUUGCCCAGCAGGACCAAAAAAAGAAGGAGGAAGAAAACGCAAAUAAAUAAAAGGAAGAAGAAUCGUGAACAUCCUAAUGAUCAUUCCUGUAUAUAUUUAAAAAUAACAGAAAAAUCCAGCAGUUGAUGGAUGAUGUUACAAUCUCUCCUUGAUAUACUUUUUGCAAAAGAAGAAAAGAAGGAGAUUUGAAAGGCUCUAGUGCAGUGUAAAAGAAUAGAAUUCCCCAGGAAGAAAAAGAUGAAAACAAGAAAGAGGUGUGGGAGGG
rnacentral:misc_RNA from 1 species